rnacentral:rRNA from 1 species
GAUGAACGCUGGCGGCGUGCCUAAUACAUGCAAGUCGAGCGAACGGACGAGAAGCUUGCUUCUCUGAUGUUAGCGGCGGACGGGUGAGUAACACGUGGAUAACCUACCUAUAAGACUGGGAUAACUUCGGGAAACCGGAGCUAAUACCGGAUAAUAUUUUGAACCGCAUGGUUCAAAAGUGAAAGACGGUCUUGCUGUCACUUAUAGAUGGAUCCGCGCUGCAUUAGCUAGUUGGUAAGGUAACGGCUUACCAAGGCAACGAUGCAUAGCCGACCUGAGAGGGUGAUCGCCCACACGGGAACUGAGACAGGGUCCAGACUCCUACGGGAGGCAGCAGGAGGGAAUCUUCGGCAAUGGGGGAAGGCCUGAGGGGGCAACGCGGGGUGGGUAAUGAAGGUUUUCGGUUCGUAAACCUUGGUUAUAGGGAAGAACAAAUGUGUAAGUAACUGUGCACAUCUUGACGGUACCUAAUCAGAAAGCCACGGCUAACUACGUG